rnacentral:rRNA from 1 species
UACGUAGGGUGCAAGCGUUAAUCGGAAUUACUGGGCGUAAAGCGUGCGCAGGCGGUUCUGUAAGUCUGACGUGAAAUCCCCGGGCUCAACCUGGGAAUUGCGUUGGAGACUGCAAGGCUGGAGUCUGGCAGAGGGGGGUAGAAUUCCACGUGUAGCAGUGAAAUGCGUAGAGAUGUGGAGGAACACCGAUGGCGAAGGCAGCCCCCUGGGUCAAGACUGACGCUCAUGCACGAAAGCGUGGGGAGCAAACAGG